GCUCGGGGCGGACACUCACCGUGAUGGGCCGUCGGGUACCGCUGCACAGUGGCUCGCACGGAGUUGCCGUAAUACGGAGGCACGGGGUUGCCUUGUCCGUCGAUAUUAAAAAGUACAUCCACUUCCUCGGCGAGAGGAUACUGCGUGGGGUCCAUGGAAGGCAUUCUUUCUGAAAGGAGCAGGAUGGCGCCAGCCGGCUCAGUGCUUACAGACAGCUGUGGCGAGACGCAACUUAAGGAGGUUCCAGUGUCAUAAGCACGGGGGAGGCGGAGCCUGGCCCAGGAAAAUAACUUUUCCCACUAGCCACGAAACUCUGGGAGCUGAGGGCAGCGCGGGUGCCGCUCCCCGACGCUGUGGGCUGCACGGGGGUCUUUCCUCCCGCCUCCCCCCGGCCCACCCCAAUGGAUGCAAAGCCUCAGGACGAGCCGUAGCUCCGGCAGGUGCAACACCUCCGGGAAAGAAAGCCGCGUCUCCUCGUGCUUAAAGCCGCUCUGACUCGGGAAAGAUUUCUCUUUAAGGACCUGAGCGCCAAGUUUGGAAAUAACACAAUUUGGGGACGUUUAGCGUUGUUUCGUUGGAGUUUUCUGGGGCUUUUUUUUUUUUUUUUUUUUUUUUUUCCCUUCAAGUUCCAGCGGAGAUCUCGGUUCUACAGGAGAUCUGUUAC